rnacentral:rRNA from 1 species
AACUUUCAGCAACGGAUCUCUUGGCUCUCGCAUCGAUGAAGAACGCAGCGAAAUGCGAUAAGUAAUGUGAAUUGCAGAAUUCAGUGAAUCAUCGAAUCUUUGAACGCACCUUGCGCUCCUUGGUAUUCCGAGGAGUAUGCCUGUUUGAGUGUCAU